UGGGCGUAAAGCGCGCGCAGGCGGUUUCUUAAGUCUGAUGUGAAAGCCCACGGCUCAACCGUGGAGGGUCAUUGGAAACUGGGGAACUUGAGUGCAGAAGAGAAAAGCGGAAUUCCACGUGUAGCGGUGAAAUGCGUAGAGAUGUGGAGGAACACCAGUGGCGAAGGCGGCUUUUUGGUCUGUAACUGACUCUGAGGCGCGAAAGCGUGGGGAGCAAACAGGAUUAGAUACCCUGGUAGUCCACGCCGUAAACGAUGAGUGC
rnacentral:rRNA from 1 species